UGGCUGGGGUUCCCUUCUGGUGAGCCGGCAUGCCCUUCGCUGGGUGUGCUGGGGAACCAGGACUUUUACUUUGAAAAAAUUAGAGUGUUUAAAGCAGGCUUAUGCUUGAAUACAUUAGCAUGGAAUAAUAGAAUAGGACCUCGGUUCUAUUUUGUUGGUCUCUAGGACCGAAGUAAUGAUUAAUAGGGAUAGUUGGGGGCAUUAGUAUUUAGUAGCUAGAGGUGAAAUUCUUGGAUUUAUGAAAGACUAACUUCUGCGAAAGCAUUUGCCAAGGAUGUUUUCAUUAAUCAAGAACGAAAGUUAGGGGAUCGAAGACGAUCAGAUACCGUCGUAGUCUUAACCAUAAACUAUGCCGACUAGGGAUCAGACGAUGUUAAUUUACUGACUCGUUUGGCACCUUAUGAGAAAUCAAAGUUUUUGGGUUCCGGGGGGAGUAUGGUCGCAAGGCUGAAACUUAAAGGAAUUGACGGAAGGGCACCACCAGGAGUGGAGCCUGCGGCUUAAUUUGACUCAACACGGGGAAACUCACCAGGUCCAGACAUAGUAAGGAUUGACAGAUUGAGAGCUCUUUCUUGAUUCUAUGGGUGGUGGUGCAUGGCCGUUCUUAGUUGGUGGGAGUGAUUUGUCUGCUUAAUUGCGUUAACGAACGAGACCUUAACCUGCUAAUAGUUAUGCCAACUUGAGUUGGUAGUCAACUUCUUAAAGGGACUGUCCGGCAAUAACCCGACGGAAGUUUAAGC
rnacentral:rRNA from 1 species